rnacentral:rRNA from 1 species
UACGGGGGGAGCAAGCGUUGUUCGGAUUUACUGGGCGUAAAGGGCGCGUAGGCGGCUCGGUAAGUCGGGGGUGAAAUCCUGCGGCUUAACCGCAGGGCUGCCUUCUAAACUGUCGAGCUUGAGCACGGUAGAGGCAGAUGGAAUUCCCGGUGUAGCGGUGGAAUGCGUAGAGAUCGGGAAGAACAUCAGUGGCGAAGGCGGUCUGCUGGGCCGUUGCUGACGCUGAGGCGCGACAGCGUGGGGAGCAAACAGG